UUAAUUGAUUUAUUUUGAUUACACCGGUGUCAUUUUAUAAUCGAUUUAUUAUGGCGGACGAUAGUCGCCAUAUUGUAAUAAGACGGAAAUGUCUAGCAAGUGCUAUAAAUACAUACUAUUUUUAUGCAUUUUUUCUUUCUUUUAAUCCAUAAUUUUAUUAGACUAAAACCUGAACUUUAAACGGGUUCAACAAGUUAUUCAUUAUCUCAUGCAUUGUUUAUGUAUUUCAGGAAAUUACGAUCACUAUUUUUUUUUACUGUUUGUGGUUAAAAUGUUUGCGUUUUGUCCUUUCACAUGCAUAUAUUUUGCUCGAUAAAUUGGCACGGUGACCAUUAUGAUAAGGAGCCGAUGAUCUUCCCGUUACUUUACUUAAGUGGAAUGAUUUAAACACUUGUCAGAAUGUGGCAACGUGUAACGGAAAAACAUGUUGGAGUUCAAUGCGAAAUGGUUUAACAGAAAACAAUAAUUAUAGAGAAAAGUAAUGUAAAAGUUCUAACUACACAAUAAUAGCAAACGUCUCAUAAGUGGUACAGCUUUAUAAGAAUUCAUGAAAAUAGAAUUUAGGUGUACCUACAUUAAACACGAUAAUAUAUUAGAAAAAUCACUCACUACAC